UGCCAGUAGCAUAUGCUUGUCCCAAAGAUUAAGCCAUGCAAGUGAAAGUUCAGCCCAUAAACCGAAACUGCGAAUGGCUCAUUAAAUCAGUUACAAUCGACUUGAGGAGUGAUUCUACAUGGAUAGCCGUGACAAAUUCAGGAUUUUAAUACAUGCAUUAGGCUCUCUUUCGGGAGGGUGUGCUCAAUAGAUCCAAACCUCGUCCUGUUCGCAGGAGCGGUGAAUCAUAUGCAUCAUUCGGACCGCAAAAAUUACUUCGGCGGCACCUCAAUCAAGUAACUGCCCUAUCACGUUGUCGGUAGUGUCUUGGACUACCGAGCGGAUGACGGGUAACGGGGAAUUAGAGUUCGAUUCCGGAGAAAGAGCAUGAGACACGGCUAUUACAUCCAAGGAAGGCAGCAGGCGCGCAAAUUACCCAAUGCGCAUAUGCGUGAGGUAGUGACAGUACGUAGCAAUGGGGCGCACGAGCAAUGUGACCCAAUUGAAAUGAGAAAAAACUAAAGCACUGAAUGAGGAACGAUUGGAGGGCAAGUCUGGUGCCAGCAGCCGCGGUAAUUCCAGCUCCACGAGCGUAUAUUAGAGUUGUUGCAGUUAAAACGUGCGUAGUCGAAGUUGAUGGGUGCCGUAUGCUUAGAACCCGUCGCUUGUCGGCGGGCCUCACUGCGGUGUUCCCAUUAUUCACCCGCCAACGACGGUCCCUUUCGGGGGUACUUUCCCUUCAUGGGGUGGACGGUGGGUGAUUUACCUCGAACAAAUGAAAACGCUUGAGGUAGGCCAGAAUGUUGCCUGAAUCAAUUAGCAUGGAAUAGCAGAUGGACAGCGAUGUCUGUUUGUUGGUUUGAGACGUUGCUGUAAUGAUUAAUAGGGGUACUCGGGGCCAACCGUACUCUGGGGAUAGAGGUGAAAUUCUAUGACCCCCAGAAGACGCCCUAAUGCGAAAGCAGUUGGCAAGGGUAUCUUCAUUGAUCAAGCACGAAGGGUGGGGGAGCAAAGCCGAUUAGACACCGUUGUAGUCCCACCAGUAAACGAUGCCGACGCGACCUUGGGUGUCUGAGGACACAGUGUUCAGGGGCGUAUAGAAAUUAGAGUCUUUGGGCUCUGGGGGGAGUAUAGUCGCAAGUCUGAAACUUAAAGGAAUUGACGGAAGGGCACAACCAGGCGUGGAGCCUGCGGCUUAAUUUGACUCAACACGGGGAAGCUCACCAGGUCAGGACAUGAUUAGGAUUGACAGAAUAAUUGAUCUUUCAUGAUCUCAUGGGUGGUGGUGCAUGGCCGUUCUUAGUUCGUGGAUUAAUUUGUCUGGUUGAUUCCGAUAACGAGCGAGACCGAGUCCGGAGGUUGGUGUUCUGUCUUUGCUCUUAGGCAUAACCGUGCCGCUCAUAAGAGUACAAGGCCCCCCUCGACCAAUUACCUUUGCGUAUUAGAGGGGGACACGCUCCUCAGGGACAGGCAUGCGCAUUAGCAUGUGGAGGCACUCGGCAAUAACAGGUCUGUGAUGCCCUUAGAUGUCCUGGGCCGCACGCGCGCUACACUGAUGCGACCAGUAGGCAAUACCUAUACCGAGAGGACUGGGUAAUCCAUUGAGAUCGUAUCGUGCUGGGGAUCGAGCACUGGAAAGCGCUCGUGAACACGGAAUGCCUUGUAAUCGUGGGUCACCAACCCACGAUGAAUACGUCCCUGCCCUUUGUACACACCGCCCGUCGCUACUACCGAUCGAAUGGCUUGGUGAGGCGGUAGGAGCAAAGGAGUCUUUGUGGUUCGCCCGGAGACUCUUGAGCGAACACCUCCAAACUCGGUCAUUUAGAGGAAGUACAAGUCGUAACAAGGUUUCCGUAGGUGAACCUGCGGAAGGAUC
rnacentral:rRNA from 1 species